rnacentral:lncRNA from 1 species
GGUAGAUCUCUGUACCUCCUGGGCUUCAACACUGCCCCUAGGAGUCUCCCUAGGCUGCCUGGGUCUGAAAGGGACCUGGCCACUUAGGGGGAUCAGUGAAUCAGUUAAGUAAUGCAGGGGGCCACAAAGGAAGCCCACUGGGUCAUGUGCUUGACGGGGAGGGCUGCAGACAAGCCUGGCCCUCUGGCUGCAGCAUGGAAGUGUGGCCCUGCUUCAGGCCCUAAUGGGCCCGGGAAGGUCAGGAGCUGCCGUCUUUGGAGGAAUGGUGUUUGUGUUGGCAUCCAUGGGCCCUGUAGCCCUGCCAACUCUCACAGCAUGUGACACUGUCAGGAGACUGGAGGUGUGAGGCAGAAGUCAGCUGGAGAGGCUCCUGCGGCCGGCCGGCCGCCUGCUUCCAGUGCUUGCAUCGAGAUCAGCGACAGCUAUCCUGGGCCUCCUGGCCACCAUCAAUAUGGAGAGCACUGUGAGGAGAUAGGUCAUCAGCUCUGGCUAUCCUGAGACUUGAAACAACUUCUCAAGCUCCAUCCUUAAGUCCCUUCUCCUGCCUCAUGGCUUCAGUCCCGUUUUCAGGCAGCUUGAGAUUGCCUGUGUCAGGAAGUGUAAACAAGGUAUUGGAGUCUG